rnacentral:rRNA from 1 species
UACGUAGGGUGCGAGCGUUGUCCGGAAUUAUUGGGCGUAAAGAGCUUGUAGGCGGUUUGUCGCGCCUGCUGUGAAAAUCCGGGGCUCAACCCCGGACUUGCAGUGGGUACGGGCAGACUAGAGUGUGGUAGGGGAGACUGGAAUUCCUGGUGUAGCGGUGAAAUGCGCAGAUAUCAGGAGGAACACCGAUGGCGAAGGCAGGUCUCUGGGCCACUACUGACGCUGAGAAGCGAAAGCAUGGGGAGCGAACAGG